UACGUAGGUGACAAGCGUUGUCCGGAUUUACUGGGCGUAAAGAGCGCGCAGGCGGUCGAUCAAGUCGAGUGUGAAAGCCCCCGGCUCAACUGGGGAGGGUCACUCGAUACUGAUCGACUUGAAGGCGGGAGAGGGAAGCGGAAUUCCCGGUGUAGUGGUGAAAUGCGUAGAUAUCGGGAGGAACACCAGUGGCGAAGGCGACUACCUGGCCUGUUCUUGACGCUGAGGCGCGAAAGCUAGGGGAGCAAACGGG
rnacentral:rRNA from 1 species